rnacentral:rRNA from 1 species
GGGAACCUCACCCGGCCCGGACACCGCGAGGAUUGACAGACUGAGAGCUCUUUCUCGAUUCGGUGGGUGGUGCAUGGCCGUUCUUAGUUGGUGGAGCGAUCUGUCUGGUUAAUUCCGAUAACGAACGAGACCCCAACCUGCUAACUAGCCCUCGGGUCCUGCUUCUGUUGGGCCCGACGGAAUGAUUCGCUUCUUAGAGGGACUCGCGGCGCCUAGCCGCACGAAGGGGGGCGAUAA